AACGAACGCUGGCGGCAUGCCUAACACAUGCAAGUCGAACGAUACCUUCGGUUCUAGUGGCGCACGGGUGCGUAACGCGUGGGAACCUGCCCUUAGGUUCGGAAUAACUCCCCGAAAGGGGUGCUAAUACCGUAUAAUUUCUUCUGACCAAAGAUUUAUCGCCUUUGGAUGGGCCCGCGUUGGAUUAGCUAGUUGGUAGGGUAAAAGCCUACCAAGGCGACGAUCCAUAGCUGGUCUGAGAGGAUGAUCAGCAACACUGGGACUGAGACACGGCCCAGACUAAUACGGGAGGAAGGAGUGGGGAAUAUUGGACAAGGGGCGAAAGACUGAUCCAGCAAUGCCGCGUGAGUGAUGAAGGCCUUAGGGUUGUAAAGCUCUUUUACCCGGGAUGAUAAUGACAGUACCGGGAGAAUAAGCGCCGGCUAACUCCGUG
rnacentral:rRNA from 1 species